rnacentral:rRNA from 1 species
GACGAACGCUGGCGGCGUGCCUAAUACAUGCAAGUCGAGCGGAAGUUGGAGAGCUUGCUCUUCAACUUUAGCGGCGGACGGGUGAGUAACACGUGGGCAACCUGCCCUGCAGAUCGGGAUAACUCCGGGAAACCGGUGCUAAUACCGAAUAGUUUUCGCCACCUCCUGGUGGCGUACGGAAAGACGGUUUCGGCUGUCACUGCAGGAUGGGCCCGCGGCGCAUUAGCUAGUUGGUGGGGUAACGGCCCACCAAGGCGACGAUGCGUAGCCGACCGGAGAGAGUGAUCGGCCACACUGGGACUGGGACACGGCCCAGACUCCUACGGGAGGCAGCAGUAGGGAAUCUUCCGCAAUGGACGAAAGUCUGACGGAGCAACGCCGCGUGAGUGACGAAGGUUUUCGGAUCGUAAAACUCUGUUGUGAGGGAAGAACAAGUACCACUUAACUACUGGUACCUUGACGGUACCUCACCAGAAAGCCACGGCUAACUACGUGCCAGCAGCCGCGGUAAAAC